rnacentral:rRNA from 1 species
AUGUGCAUCCCAAAGAAAGAUGGAGGUAUGGGCUUUCGUGAUCUGCACUCUUUUAGUUUAGCUAUGUUGGCGAAACAAUCUUGGAGACUGAUUUCAAAUCCAGAUUCUCUGUGUGCCAGAGUUCUUAAAGCUAAAUAUUACCCAAAUUGUCACUUGUUGAAGGCGGGUCUGAAGAUAGUAAAAAAUAGCAUCUACACUCAUAGAAACUUACAGUAA